AUGACUGACGUCAUUACAAAGUAGAAUUGGUGGUGGUGAAUUGGUGGUCUCUAGAGGCCGGAAGAAGCAUGCUCUAUCGUGCAAAAGGCCGGCAUCGCCUCUGAGCGCUCCCCGUUAUGCUUCCUCGGUAACCUGCUGUUUGUGACCCGGACUCCGGUACUGCCUGACGUUCCCUGCGGGCACAGCGGCUCUGCUCUCCGAACAGAAAGGAGAAGACUCAGGAGCUGCCAUCCCUACCAUGUGCCGGUGCUGUAUGUCGUGUCACGCCCACUUCCUUCCCUCUGAACUGAGCUACUGAAGAGGAGAGAAAAAGGCACAACUCUAGCAAAGAUUUAUCGAUUCAAUUCAAUGGUCCAUUGGCUGCUGCCGUCUCCCAGGUCUGUAGCAGUGGAAUGCUGCCAGAUGCAUUUGGACAGAGAUACAAUUGAAGAUGCUGGAUUUAUAAUACACUACCAGGCUGGACUACUUGACUUCCAAACUAAAAAGAGGAUGGAUAGACGGCUUUAUUGGAUUUCAAAAACAGAUUAUUCUCCUUUUCAGGUCUUAUAAUUGAACUAUAACAGGACCGUAUUGCUCAUUGUUGCUCUGUUCUCCUUAGGUCCCUUUCACACUAUAAAUUCAUCCAUUUUAACCCCUUAAGGACCCAGCCA